rnacentral:snRNA from 1 species
GUGCUCGCUUUGGCAGCACAUAUACUAAAAUUGGAACGAUACAGAGAAGAUUAGCUUAGCAUGGCCCCUGCGCAAGGAUAACAUGCAAAUUCAUGAAGUGUUCCAUAUUAAA